AAAAGGGUCUCUCUUUCUUUGUUCCUUCCUUCCUUCCUUUCUUUCUUUUCAGGGGGAGCUCACCUGGCUCAGCCAGCCGGGAAGGCAGAAGUUUUGCAGUGUAACAGAGGUGUGGGGUGUGGUGCCAGCCAGGACAGAUACAGCACAAUGUCACCUCUGGAGAAGAUGGCCUCAAUAAGCAGCUGGUCGCCGGUGACCCGCCGUCCUCCCACACUGCCCACUGAUGUCAGAGACGCUGAGGACGCAGUGGUGGUAGACGGUUUUGACAUCACUGCCAACAGCAUGCUCACAAGAGACCUGGAGAGAGAAAGUGAGCCCUACGCAGAGAAGAGAAUAUCCUUCCAGCCUUUUUUCUGCGGAACUGGGCUUUGAGCCAGACUUGCCUGACCCCAAGCCCUUUCACCCUCCGGCCCUGAGCUGCUUUCCCCUCCCCUAUUCAAUGGGAGCUACAAUGUCCACUCCUGAGGGGUGCAGUGAAGAUGAAAUGAAAUCGUGUCCUGGAAGCAAAGGGCAUUUUGAAAGCUUUUAUCAAAUGGGAGUUUCUUUCUGGAGGAGAAUUCAACCAUACGAUGAUGAUAAGAGAAAUGAACUCAUAAUGACCAUAUGCUGCUGCUGCUUAUUUGUGUCUCAGAAAAACAUGUCUAAGGCAUUGCCCUUGUCAUCGGGCAGCAGAGCAGCAGUCGGGAGGACCCCCGCGGAACAACGGGCAACAAAUAGCGCCUGCUGGGCACAGGCUGGAAUUAAGAGACAGAAAGGCCAAGGGAGGGUUUCCCACGGUCUUGGACUUCACAGAGGGCGCCGGGACCACUAAAAUGAGCGAAACACAGGCCUGCCCAGUCCUUCGGAAUUCACCAUGCAGUGAGUAAGAUGGGCAUAAAAAUGUCGUCAUGUAUCAUUCUUAAGUAGUGAUGAUGAUGAUAAAAGCAGUAGCGUGCUGAGCACUAGCACGUCCCGGGCACUGAUGCAAGCAUUCUACACAUACUCGGUGUUAGGACUGAGGUACGAACGAGAUACAGAUACGGGAGGCGUCCAGAGCAGAGGCCUUUCUGCAGCAUGGGGCCCAGGGGUAGAAGUUCAUUGUCCUCACUCUUCACCUCAGUCCUGAGGAGAAGCUCCUCCAGGGGAGAGAACAGCAUUUUCCGCAGGGUUCUAGAAUGGGUCAAGGAGGGCAUCUGAAUUCCCAGCAGCCCUCACCCCCACCUCCACCCAGACCCGCUGCUCUCCCCGCUGGCAAGUCUCUGACCUUCCUCCUGUGGGGCUGGCUGGGUCAGACUUGUCUAGACCAGAACACCCAUUACCCAAUCUCUCCAACCCAUCUCUUCAACUGAUGCCCUCGGGGCCUUGUGGGGAGAGCAAACCUUGGGAGGACUGGGGAGGCCACAGAGAUAGUGACAGAUAGAGGCUUGAGGGUAGGGAUGGAGGGGCUGCGGGGCUGGUGUCCAAGGCUGGGGGGCUGGACAGAGGAUGAGCCAGCCAGCUCCCUGGUGCCCCACUCAAGAGCAGUCCCUUUGGGGAAGGCAGGGCUGGUAGCUCAGAGGUGGGUGGGGACAGCAGAGAGAAGUGGGAGGUGCUGGUAUUUGCAGGGCUCAGCGUAGGAGAACAAAUGUGUUCCCAGACGGUGGCCCACCCACCUUUUCUUCCCAUUUCUGGUUCCAUCCUGUAUCUUGGGGGGCCACCAGUAUCACCAGUGCCUAUGUAGACAGCCCCACCCGCACACUGACACAUCGCCAAACAGCAAUGGGCGUCCUUGGGCCCAGGAAAAGGUUGUCAAGUUUGGGACAUACUUGUAUUAAAACAGUAUUCCUUAUGUGCCUGAAAUUCAAAUGUAACUAGGCUCCCUGUAUUUUAUCGGGCAGUCCUAAUCAGGGGUGUCCCCACCAGCCAUGAGGUCGGCCCUCAGGAGGCCCAGGGUAGAAAUCCUCACAAGCCCUGCAAGCUGGCUCAGGGCCCAUUGGGCAGUGACUUUCGGGGUCCUCGUGCUAGAGCACGGCUGGGGGACACAGGCUCUGGGUGGGUACUUCUUGGCCCUGUAGUCUUUUUUGGCCAUUGAAGAGUCAUGUCCGGGCCUCCUAAAGCUCAGGAGCUAGAUCAGGGGCCCCUCUGCCUGCUUACUGGCUGUAUGGGAUGAGCCUCAACCCACCUUCAAGUGAGAGCUCACUUCAAGCAAGGGGCGUGCCAGGACCUUUACUGGCCUCCUCGGUGGGUGCCUUUACGUCUAGAUCCUCUAGAUUUUCCAAGUCCCCGGGAGGCAGUGACUUCCGAUGUUGGGAGACCUAUGUGAUAGAUCCGCUGAAAGCCUGGGUAAAACACAGGCCACCCAGUUAUAUUUGAAUUUCACACGAACAAUGUAAUAAUUUACUAUAAGUAUGUCCCGUUCAAUAUUUGGGACAGACUUAUACUAAAAAACGAUUUCUUGAUUAUCUGAAACUCAAAUUUAAUCCGGUGUUCUGGUUUUGAUUUCAUCUUUCUUUCUGGUAAAUCUGAGAGCUGGGACAUUGGAGUGCCACAGCUAGGAUCUGGCCCUAGCUUCUCUGCUUCUUGCCCGGUGAACCUCCCCAAGGGUCACUUUUCCUGUCCGCCCCCUAGGGCUGAUGGAAGGAUAAAAUGAAUAAGUGCCUGGCAUAAGUGACAGUUGUUAUUGUUGUCCCUGGCCAAGGUCCCACCGCUAGAAGGCUGCGGGGCUGGUAGCUGCCCUCCGGCCUCCAGGCUCAGGUUCUCAGUCUUCUUGAGACCACUCCGCAGCCCGCUGCACGUUCCUCGGACCUGAGACCACCCUGCCUGCAAGGACCCAGGCAAGGGCGCCAAGAGAGGCUCGAGAAGGAAGCAUGUUCUGGUUGGGAGAUCUCAAAUUCCCUGAUGACUGGAGAGGAGUCGUUGGGGACAAAAGGGAAAGGGAGGAGCUGACAUUUAUUCUGGGCUCAGUGUAUGCCUGGCGUUUUGUAGUUUCUAAUUUAAUCCUCACAUUCCUGGUCAUUUCUCUUUUGCAACUAAAGAUGUAUUCAUAGGACCAGAGGAGACGGCCCCUGAUGCUACUCUGCUUGUAUGCUGGUUCUUCUGGUGGAUGUCCCCUUCCCAGUGAGCCCUUCCCUGACCACCAUGCUUAAAAUGGAAACCCUCCCCCAUGGCUUGGAACUCUAUUCCCCUUCUCUCCUUCCUUCUUUUCCAAAGCACCCUCAUCAAAUACAGUAAAAUAUUGGUUUGCAAGCAUAAGUCGCUCCAGAAACAUGCUUGUAAUCCAAAGCACUUAUAUAUCAAAGGAAAUUUCAAGAAUCAUUGUUGUGAUCGCAUACUACUCAUAUGGCAAGACAUCGCUUGUUUAUCAAGUUAAAAUUUAUUAGAAAUGUGUGUUUGUCUUGCAGAACAUUCGCAGACCAAGUUACUCGAAAGCCAAGGUUUUACUGUGUAUUAAAUAGGUCUCCCUCCCCUCCCAGAAUGUAAGCUCCACGAGAGCAGAUUUUUCCAGUCUGUUCUGUUUACUGACAUGUUCCCUGUGCCUGAAACAGAGCCUUGUACAUAUUGGUUGAAUGAAUUAAAGAUAAUAAGAAUAACA